rnacentral:rRNA from 1 species
UACGUAGGUGGCAAGCGUUUGUCCGGAAUUAUUGGGCGUAAAGCGCGCGCAGGCGGUCCUUUAAGUCUGAUGUGAAAGCCCACGGCUCAACCGUGGAGGGUCAUUGGAAACUGGGGGACUUGAGUGCAGAAGAGGAAAGUGGAAUUCCAAGUGUAGCGGUGAAAUGCGUAGAGAUUUGGAGGAACACCAGUGGCGAAAGGCGACUUUCUGGUCUGGUAACUGACGCUGAGGCGCGAAAAGUGUGGGGGAGCGAACAGG